CAAAUUAGGAGGUAGGGAGAGAACUCAGUUUUCCCGGCUCAGGGGCCAGGCAGGCGUCUUGGGGGCCAUGCAGAAGGCUCCUGGAGGGUGAGAGAGAAAGUGCAGGUGCCUGGUGAGGCCAGGUCUUUGAAGAGGCCAAGACAUGGUGUUCCCAACAGAAGAACGGCCUGAAGUUGAAAGGCCUUGGGGGUGUGAGUGUCUCUGCUUUUUCCAGAAAGAUUUCUUAGGACAUCAAGUCGUCUGAAAAGGUUUCCUUUUUGGAGAACAAGCCUCGCUCUUUGGGGUACUGGAUGGUCUCUAAGAGGCACUGCCUGUCCCAGUUUCUACAAAGUUGGGGCAGCCUCUCUGGGAUAGGCCAGCCCAGCUCUGAAAGCUGAGCCAAGGGGCUGUUUCUGGAAGAUGGAAGAAUCUUGGUGAAACGGCACAAGUAUGGGCUGUUCAACAAUUAACCAGGUUAUCACAAACUACAAGGAUGGGGUGGUAUCUAAGCUGUUGAAGUCGAAAACCUAUUUAAUGUGUAGAGCCUCCAAUCUUUACCCCAGUAGCCUGCCACUGGAAUAUGAGCUCCAAGAAGGUAAAGAUUAUGUGUUUGUCUCAUUCAUCAUCACAUCCCCAUGAUACUUGAUCCAUAAUAAGACUCUACUGAGUAUGGAUUGAUUGACUGACUAAUUGAAUGAAUGAGUGAUUCUUAAGAUACUAUCAUUUGGCCGGGCGCGGUGGCUCAAGCCUGUAAUCCCAGCACUUUGGGAGGCCGAGACGGGUGGAUCACGAGGUCAGGAGAUCGAGACCAUCCUGGCUAACACGGUGAAACCCCGUCUCUACUAAAUAUUACAAAAAACUAGCCGGGCGAGGUGGCGGGUGCCUGUAGUCCCAGCUACUCGGGAGGCUGAGGCAGGAGAAUGGCAUGAACCCGGGAGGCGGAGCUUGCAGUGAGCUGAGAUCCGGCCACUGCACUCCAGCCUGGGUGACAGAGCAAGACUCCGUCUCAAAAAAAAAAUAAAAUAAAAUAAAAAAUAAGAUACUGUCUAGAAAUGUCUGUAGCAUAAGAGGGUCCCUAGGAAGGCCCAGAACUGGGAGUGAGACUUCAGGCAGAUAUAGUCAAACUGCUGUAUUUUCACUCGCAGUUUUAUCUGAGAACCACUGCCCUUCUGAGUACCAGGCCAAUGAUGCCAGUGGUCAGCCACUAAGCACUCCUCUCUGAUCAGGCCUGGCCACACACAGGGUUCUCUGCAAGUUUAGUUGCUGGAAAAGCAGGUAACCCUGCAGAGACAGGGCUCUAGAGAGGCUCCCAUUCUGAUGACUGGGGCUAUAGCCACUUAGACACACAUUCACCACCAGCCUCCUUCCCAGGGAAAAGCCUUUCUCUUCUAAUGCAAACUGAGGACUUCCCUCCCUGAUUUGCUUUCUCCUCCAAUUCUCAUCAAGCCCUUGCUGAUCUCUGGCAGACAUCCUGCAGCCCCUCCUAGGGCUUCCACAGCCCCCUAGCACAGCACGCUGUCUGUAGGAAGGGCUGUGUUUGGGUUGAACCCAGCCACCCC
rnacentral:lncRNA from 1 species